rnacentral:lncRNA from 1 species
AUCUGGGAGAAUAUAGCACCACCCAUGGUUUAAGUUAUGACUGAAAGCAGAUGCUGAUCUUUGUUUUUUGCUCCUGAUUGUCUAUGAAGGUCAACAAUCCGAGAUAAAAUCAUUCCACAUGCAGUGUCAUGGUUCACCGGGGAAGCUGCUGAGGAUGAUUAUGCUGAGUUGGAAGAUGACGAGGAUGAAGAUGAUGAUGAAGAGGAUGAUGAGGACGAGGAUGAGGAGGAUGAAGAAGAAGAUGAGGACGAAGAGGAGGAUGAAGAUGAGAC